GUGGUUGACUAAAGCGUGUGGACAGGCGUAACGUGAAAUCUGCUACGGGAAAUCUGCGCUGUAGUGGAAGCGGUGGUAUAACUUACUGGAAUACGGCUCGUCAUAAGUACCAGACAUAACGUCGCAAGACCGAAGAGGGGGACCUUCGUUGCCUCUUGCCAUCAGAUGUGCCCCAGUACUGGGAGUUAAGCUAGCUCAGAUGGGGUAACGGGAUCNACCUAUGCGACGAUUCCCUAACUGGUCUGAGGAGGAUGACCAGUCACACUGGAACUGAUNACACGGUCCAGACUCCUACGGGAGAGCACGUCAAGUCGCGAGGACAUAUUCGNACAAGUGUGGCUGCAAGCGCUCGAUGCAUGCCAUGCCGGCCGUUGUCAUGCAGAGAAGGCUUCGGGUUGUAAACGUACUUUCAGCGGGGAGGAAGGUUGUAGGCGGGUANAAGUAACGCAGAUGAAACUUGGACGNUUAACCCCGCAGGAAGNAACAGGCNACCNGGCUUAAGCUCCCUAGUGCCCAAGCGCACAGCCCGGCGCGCGGAAUACCGGGACGGGCGUUGCCACAAGGCCCGGAUCCACACUCCCGGGCAACUCUCACCAUUGG
rnacentral:rRNA from 1 species